rnacentral:rRNA from 1 species
GGCCAGCAGGUGGGGAAUCUCUCCCACAAAGGGACGAUAGUUUGGAGGGAGCCACCGCCCCCUUAAAUGAAAGAAGGGUUUUCGGGUUCGAAAAAACUUCUUUGUUAAAAGAAGAACAUUUCUGAGAGUAACUGUUCAGGUAUUGACGGUAUUUAACCAGAAAGCCACGGCUAACUACGUGCCAGCAGCCGCGGUAAUACGUAGGUGGCAAGCGUUGUCCGGAUUUAUUGGGCGUAAAGCGAGCGCAGGCGGUUUUUUAAGUCUGAUGUGAAAGCCUUCGGCUCAACCGAAGAAGUGCAUCGGAAACUGGGAAACUUGAGUGCAGAAGAGGACAGUGGAACUCCAUGUGUAGCGGUGAAAUGCGUAGAUAUAUGGAAGAACACCAGUGGCGAAGGCGGCUGUCUGGUCUGUAACUGACGCUGAGGCUCGAAAGUAUGGGUAGCAAACAGGAUUAGAUACCCUGGUAGUCCAUACCGUAAACGAUGAAUGCUAAGUGUUGGAGGGUUUCCGCCCUUCAGUGCUGCAGCUAACGCAUUAAGCAUUCCGCCUGGGGAGUACGGCCGCAAGGCUGAAACUCAAAGGAAUUGACGGGGGCCCGCACAAGCGGUGGAGCAUGUGGUUUAAUUCGAAGCUACGCGAAGAACCUUACCAGGUCUUGACAUACUAUGCAAAUCUAAGAGAUUAGACGUUCCCUUCGGGGACAUGGAUACAGGUGGUGCAUGGUUGUCGUCAGCUCGUGUCGUGAGAUGUUGGGUUAAGUCCCGCAACGAGCGCAACCCUUAUUAUCAGUUGCCAGCAUUAAGUUGGGCACUCUGGUGAGACUGCCGGUGACAAACCGGAGGAAGGUGGGGAUGACGUCAAAUCAUCAUGCCCCUUAUGACCUGGGCUACACACGUGCUACAAUGGAUGGUACAACGAGUUGCGAACUCGCGAGAGUAAGCUAAUCUCUUAAAGCCAUUCUCAGUUCGGAUUGUAGGCUGCAACUCGCCUACAUGAAGUCGGAAUCGCUAGUAAUCGCGGAUCAGCAUGCCGCGGUGAAUACGUUCCCGGGCCUUGUACACACCGCCCGUCACACCAUGAGAGUUUGUAACACCCAAAGUCGGUGGGGUAACCUUUUAGGAACCAGCCGCCUAAGGUGACAGAGAUUGGG